UACAGAGGUGGCAAGCGUUGUUCGGAAUUACUGGGCGUAAAGGGCGCGUAGGCGGCCAUCUAAGUCAGACGUGAAAUCCCCCGGCUUAACCUGGGAACUGCGUCUGAUACUGGACGGCUAGAGUAUGGGAGAGGGAUGUAGAAUUCCAGGUGUAGCGGUGAAAUGCGUAGAUAUCUGGAGGAACAUCAGUGGCGAAGGCGGCUACCUGGCCCAAUACUGACACUCAGGUGCGACAGCGUGGGGAGCAAACAGG
rnacentral:rRNA from 1 species